rfam:Schistosoma haematobium scaffold66_21, whole genome shotgun sequence.
AUCCAGCUGAAGAGUCUCAAAUAGGACGAAAUAUGAGUCCUGAAU